rnacentral:rRNA from 1 species
CCUACGGGUGGCAGCAGUGGGGAAUAUUGGGCAAUGGGCGCAAGUCUGACCCAGCAACGCCGCGUGAAGGAAGAAGGCUUUCGGGUUGUAAACUUCUUUUCUGGGGGACGAGCAGAAUACCGUUACCUUUGAAUUAACCACGGCCAAAUACGUUCCCGCAGCCGCGGUAAUACGUAGGUGGCCAGCGGUGUCCGGAUUUACUGGGUGUAAAGGGCGUGCAGGCGGGAAGACAAGUCAGAUGUGAAAUACCGGGGCUCAACCGCGGAACUGCAUUUGAAACUGGUUUUCUUGAGUGAGGGAGAGGUAUGCGGAAUGCGGGGUGUAGCGGUGAAAUGCGUAGAUAUCACGAAGAACACCGGUGGUGAAGGCAGAAUACCGGAGCGCAACUGACGCUCAGGCGCGAAAGUGUGGGGAGCGAACAGGAUUAGAUACCCCAGUAGUC